UGCAGUCGUGCGAGAAAGUUCUUCGGAUAUGAGUAGAGCGGCGGACGGGUGAGUAACGCGUAGGAAUCUACCUAGUAGAAGGGGAUAGCCCGGGGAAACUCGGAUUAAUACCGUAUACCUCCUUAGGGAGAAAGAGGGCCUCUCUUGAUGCUCUCGCUAUUAGAUGAGCCUGCGUAAGAUUAGCUUGUUGGUGAGGUAAUGGCUCACCAAGGCUACGAUCUUUAGCUGGUCUGAGAGGACGAUCAGCCACAUUGGGACUGAGACACGGCCCAGACUCCUACGGGAGGCAGCAGUGGGGAAUAUUGGACAAUGGGCGCAAGCCUGAUCCAGCCAUACCGCGUGUGUGAAGAAGGCUCUAGGGUUGUAAAGCACUUUAAGCAGGGAGAAAAAGUUAUAAGUUAAUACCUUAUAACCGUGAUAUUACCUGCAGAAUAAGCACCGGCUAAUUCCGUGCCAGCAGCCGCGGUAAUACGGAAGGUGCAAGCGUUAAUCGGAAUUACUGGGCGUAAAGCGCGCGUAGGUGGUUUGUUAAGUUGGAUGUGAAAGCCCUGGGCUCAACCUAGGAACUGCAUCCAAAACUAACUCACUAGAGUACGAUAGAGGGAGGUAGAAUUCAUAGUGUAGCGGUGGAAUGCGUAGAUAUUAUGAAGAAUACCAGUGGCGAAGGCGGCCUCCUGGAUCUGUACUGACACUGAGGUGCGAAAGCGUGGGUAGCGAACAGGAUUAGAUACCCUGGUAGUCCACGCCGU
rnacentral:rRNA from 1 species